CGGCGGCCCCGCCGCCUUCCUGCGGGGCAUCGCUGGGGGGGACACAGCGGGCGAAAGGUGCAGCAUAAAGAAAGCAACAACUCGGGGCCUUUGCACUAUUUUUGGUGGUGGUUCCUGUUGCAGGAAAAAAAAAAAAAGGAGAAAAUUCCCUUUAUUACAUCGAGGGAUUUUGCAGGAGGGGAACAUGUGGUGCCUUUGGAAUUGGUGAAUUUUUGACCAAUUUGCAAUAUUUGAUUAAUUUGCAAUAUCUGAUUGAUUUAAAAGAUGUGAUUUAUUGAAAA